GGGGAUAUAGCUCAGCUGGGAGAGCGCUUGAAUGGCAUUCAAGAGGUCAUGGGUUCGAAUCCCACUAUCUCCA
rnacentral:tRNA from 1 species